rnacentral:rRNA from 1 species
UACGUAGGGUCCAAGCGUUAAUCGGAAUUACUGGGCGUAAAGCGUGCGCAGGCGGUUGUGUAAGACAGGUGUGAAAUCCCCAGGCUUAACCUGGGAACUGCAUUUGUGACUGCACGGCUAGAGUGUGUCAGAGGGAGGUAGAAUUCCACGUGUAGCAGUGAAAUGCGUAGAUAUGUGGAGGAAUACCGAUGGCGAAGGCAGCCUCCUGGGAUAACACUGACGCUCAUGCACGAAAGCGUGGGGAGCAAACAGG